rnacentral:rRNA from 1 species
AGAGUUUGAUCAUGGCUCAGGGUUAACGCUGGCGGUAUGUCUAAUACAUGCAAGUCGAGCGCCCCUCACCCUGUCUUUGAUUCAUUUCGAAGGUAGAGUGAGGGGAGCGGCGAACGGGUGCGUAACACGUUGGAACCUGCCCUAGACUCAGGGAUAACCUGUGGAAACACAGGCUAAUACCGGAUAGUCCCGAAAGGGUAAAGAUUUAUCGGUCUAGGAGGGUCCUGCGGCCUAUCAGCUUGUUGGUGAGGUAAUAGCUCACCAAGGCUAUGACGGGUAGCUGGUCUGAGAGGAUGAUCAGCCACAAUGGGACUGAGACACGGCCCAUACUCCUACGGGAGGCAGCAGUAAGGAAUCUUCCACAAUGGGCGAAAGCCUGAUGGAGCAAUACCGCGUGAAUGAUGAAGGUCGAAAGAUUGUAAAGUUCUUUUCUGAGGGAAGAAUUCUGACGGUACCUCAGGAAUAAGCACCGGCUAACUCCGUGCCAGCAGCCGCGGUAAUACGGAGGGUGCAAGCGUUACCCGGAAUUAUUGGGCGUAAAGCGUCCGCAGGCGGUUAAUUAAGUUAGUUAUUAAAUCUUGAAGCCCAACUUUAAGGCUGUAACUAAAACUGAUUAACUAGAGACUUCCAGAGGCAUGUGGAAUUCUGUGUGUAGGGGUAAAAUCCGUAGAUACACAGAGGAACACCAAAAGCGAAGGCAACAUGCUGGGGAAGUUCUGACGCUCAUGGACGAAAGCGUGGGUAGCGAACGGGAUUAGAUACCCCGGUAGUCCACGCCGUAAACAAUGGAUACUAGGUGUUGGAGGGCCUCGACCCUUUCAGUGCCGACGCUAACGCAUUAAGUAUCCCGCCUGGGGAGUACGGUCGCAAGAUUAAAACUCAAAGGAAUAGACGGGGACCCACACAAGCGGUGGAGCAUCUGGCUUAAUUCGAUAAUGAGCGAGGAACCUUACCUGGGUUUGACAUCCCGAGAAUUUUCUGGAAACAGAGAAGUGCCUUAUGGAACUCGGUGACAGGUGCUGCAUGGUUGUCGUCAGCUCGUGCCUUGAGGUGUUCGGUUAAGUCCGUAAACGAGCGCAACCCAUGUCCUGUGUUGUAUUUUUCACAGGAGACUGCCGAUUCAAAGUCGGAGGAAGGUAUGGAUGACGUCAAAUCAGCAUGGCCCUUAUACCCAGGGCUGCACAGGUGCUACAAUGGCUGGUACAAUGGGUAGCAAUGUCGCAAGGCGGAGCCAAUCCCUAAAGCCAGUCUAAGUUCGGAUUGAGGGCUGCAAUUUGCCCUCAUGAAGUCGGAAUCGCUAGUAACCGCGGAUCAGCAAUGGCGCGGUGAAUCCGUUCCUGGGUCUUGUACUCACCGCCCGUCAUACUACGGAAGGUAGAGGCGCCCGAAGUGCUCUUAGCUUAUUAGCGGGGUCCUAAGGUGAAGCUACUGACUGGAGUAAAGUCGUAACAAGGUA